rnacentral:rRNA from 1 species
UACGGAGGGGGCUAGCGUUGUUCGGAAUUACUGGGCGUAAAGCGCGCGUAGGCGGACCUGCAAGUCGGGGGUGAAAGCCCGAGGCUCAACCUCGGAACUGCCUUCGAUACUGCGGGUCUCGAGUCCGGGAGAGGUGAGUGGAAUUCCUAGUGUAGAGGUGAAAUUCGUAGAUAUUAGGAAGAACACCAGUGGCGAAGGCGCUCACUGGCCCGGUACUGACGCUGAGGCGCGAAAGCCAGGGGAGCGAACGGG